rnacentral:lncRNA from 1 species
AAAUGGACACUUUGGACAGGUAUGUGCUUAACCCUCGGGUUGAUAAUAUAUACAACAACGAUAAGGUAGUAAGAUGAUGAAUGAUGUUUAGAAAUAUGAUAUAUGUUUUGGUGAUACCAUGCUAAAGUUGUUUGGUAUAUUUGUAUUGUUAUGUUACUUGUUAUUUACAUAUGAACUUACUAAGCAUUUAUGCUUACUCCCUCCUCUUUAUUUACUGUAGUUUUGAACAAGCCAGCUCAGGAAUCGGGAUGGGUUGAAGGUUCGAUGACACUAUCCAAAGGACUUUCAUCUGGGUAAAUGGCUUGUAAAACUUAAGUAUGGC